rnacentral:rRNA from 1 species
CCUACGGGUGGCUGCAGUGGGGGAUAUUGCACAAUGGGCGAAACCCUGAUGCAGCAACGCCGCGUGUGGGAAGAAGGUUUUCGGAUUGUAAACCCCUGUUCUUGGUGAAGAUAAUGACGGUAACCAAGGAGAAACCUCCGGCUAACUACGUGCCAGCAGCCGCGGUCAUACGUAGGGAGGACGCGUUGUCCGGAUUUACUGGGUGUAAAGGGUGCGUAGGCGGGCUUGCAAGGCAGACGGGAAAACCACGGGCUCAACCCGUGGACUGCGUUUGAAACUGGGGGGCGUGAGUGAAGUAGAGGUAGGCGGAAUUCCCGGUGUAGCGGUGAAAUGCGUAGAGAUCGGGAGGAACACCAGUGGCGAAGGCAGCCUACUGGGGUUUAACUGACGCUGAGGCACGAAAGCAUGGGUAGCAAACAGGAUUAGAUACCCGUGUAGUC